rnacentral:rRNA from 1 species
UACGAAGGGGGCUAGCGUUGUUCGGAAUCACUGGGCGUAAAGCGCACGCAGGCGGAUCGAUAAGUCAGGGGUGAAAUCCCGGAGCUCAACUUCGGAAUUGCCUUUGAUACUGUCUGUCUUGAGUCCGGGAGAGGUGAGUGGAAUUCCUAGUGUAGAGGUGAAAUUCGUAGAUAUUAGGAAGAACACCAGUGGCGAAGGCGGCUCACUGGCCCGGUACUGACGCUCAUGUGCGAAAGCGUGGGGAGCAAACAGG